GGAGAGAGAAAUGAGGGCCUGUAG
rnacentral:piRNA from 1 species